rnacentral:rRNA from 1 species
GGAUGAACGCUAGCUACAGGCUUAACACAUGCAAGUCGAGGGGAAACGACAUCGAAAGCUUGCUUUUGAUGGGCGUCGACCGGCGCACGGGUGAGUAACGCGUAUCCAACCUGCCCAUCACUUGGGGAUAACCUUGCGAAAGUAAGACUAAUACCCAAUGAUAUCUCUAGAAGACAUCUGAAAGAGAUUAAAGAUUUAUCGGUGAUGGAUGGGGAUGCGUCUGAUUAGCUUGUUGGCGGGGUAACGGCCCACCAAGGCAACGAUCAGUAGGGGUUCUGAGAGGAAGGGGCCCGACAGUGGAACUGAGACACGGGCCAAACACCUACGGGAGGCAGCAGUGAGGAAGAUUGGUCAAUGGGCGAGAGCCUGAACCAGCCAAGUAGCGUGCAGGAAGACGGCCCUAUGGGUUGUAAACUGCUUUUAGAAGGGAAUAAAGUGAGAGGCGUGACUCUUUUUGUAUGUACCUGAUGAAUAAGGACCGGCUAAUUCCGUG